GCUUGAUGAAAGAGACGGACGCUGAAAAGAAGCAAUGGUGUGCUUGCUACAAUGGAUUUUGUUACUGCAGCAAGCGUUCUCUGGAUAUGUUAAAGGAAGAUGGAAGUGACCCGGUGGAAAAAAUAAACCAAAUGAGAGAGGCGGAUUUCAGGAAAAGAUUCUUG